AUUGAACGCUGGCGGCAGGCCUAACACAUGCAAGUCGAACGGUAGCACAGAGAGCUUGCUCUCGGGUGACGAGUGGCGGACGGGUGAGUAACGUCUGGGAAACUGCCCGAUGGAGGGGGAUAACUACUGGAAACGGUAGCUAAUACCGCAUAACGUCGCAAGACCAAAGUGGGGGACCUUCGGGCCUCACACCAUCGGAUGUGCCCAGAUGGGAUUAGCUAGUUGGUGGGGUAAUGGCUCACCCAGGCGAAGAUCCCUAGCUGGUCUGAGAGGAUGACCAGCCACACUGGAACUGAGACACGGUCCAGCCUCCUACGGGAGGCAGCAGUGGGGAAUAUUGCACAAUGGGCGCAAGCCUGAUGCAGCCAUGCCGCGUGUAUGAAGAAAGCCUUCGGGUUGUAAAGUACUUUCAGCGGGGAGGAAGGCGGUGAAGUUAAUAACUUCACCGAUUGACGUUACCCGCAGAAGAAGCACCUGCUAACUCCGUGCCAGCAGCCGCGGUAA
rnacentral:rRNA from 1 species